rnacentral:rRNA from 1 species
UACGAAGGGGGCUAGCGUUGUUCGGAGUUACUGGGCGUAAAGGGCGCGUAGGCGGCGCACCAAGUCAGGCGUGAAAGCCCUGGGCUCAACCCGGGAAUUGCGCUUGAGACUGGUGUGCUCGAGUACGGGAGAGGAUAGUGGAAUUCCCAGUGUAGAGGUGAAAUGCGCAGAUAUCGGGAAGAACACCCGUGGCUAAGGCGGCUCUCUAGUACGGUACUGACGCUGAGACGCGAAAGCGUGGGGAGCGAACAGG